AGUGGGCACUGUGGUGCGUGCCUGUAAUCCCAGCAACUCAGGAGUUUGAGGCAGGAGGAUCGCAAGUUCAAAGCCAGCCUCAGCAACUUAGCAAGGCCCUAAGCAACUUAAACAAGACCCUGUCUCAA
rnacentral:sRNA from 1 species